GACGAACGCUGGCGGCGUGCCUAAUACAUGCAAGUAGAACGCACAGUUUAUACCUUAGCUUGCUACACCAUAGACUGUGAGUUGCGAACGGGUUAGUAACGCGUAGGUAACCUGCCUGGUAGCUGGGGAUAACUAUUGGUAACGAUAGCUGAUACCGCAUAAUAUUGAAUAUUGCUUGAUAAUUGGUUGAAGGAUCCUAUUGCAACGCUACCAGAUGGACCUGCGUUGUAUUAGCUAGUAGGUGAGGUAACGGCUCACCUAGGUGACGAUACAUAGCCGACCUGAGAGGGUGAUCGGCCACACUGGGACUGAGACACGGCCCAGACUCCUACGGGAGGCAGCAGUAGGGAAUCUUCGGCAAUGGACGAAAGUCUGACCGAGCAACGCCGCGUGAGUGAAGAAGGUUGUCGGAUCGUAAAGCUCUGUUGUAAGAGAAGAACGGGUGUGAGAGUGGAAAGUUCACACUGUGACGGUAUCUGACCAGAAAGGGACGGCUAACUACGUG
rnacentral:rRNA from 1 species